UACGGAGGGUGCAAGCGUUAUUCGGAAUUACUGGGCGUAAAGCGCGUGCAGGCGGCUUGGAAAGUCUGAUGUGAAAGCCCCGGGCUUAACCUGGGAAGUGCAUUGGAAACUCUCAAGCUUGAGUACUGGAGAGGAAGGGAGAAUUCCCGGUGUAGAGGUGAAAUUCGUAGAGAUCGGGAGGAACACCAGUGGCGAAGGCGCCCUUCUGGACAGCUACUGACGCUGAGACGCGAAAGCGUGGGGAGCAAACAGG
rnacentral:rRNA from 1 species